UUGGAGUAGGCCAGCUCAGACCGAACUCAUUUCCUGCCUUUUACCGGAUGUGACCGUGAGUUGGCCUGAAAUACUCCCUAACCCAAUCUUUGGAAACUCUCUGGAUAUCCCAGAUU
rnacentral:snRNA from 1 species